rnacentral:rRNA from 1 species
GACGAACGCUGGCGGCGUGCCUAAUACAUGCAAGUAGAACGCUGAAGGAGGAGCUUGCUUCUCUGGAUGAGUUGCGAACGGGUGAGUAACGCGUAGGUAACCUGCCUGGUAGCGGGGGAUAACUAUUGGAAACGAUAGCUAAUACCGCAUAACAGUAGAUAUCGCAUGAUAUCUACUUGAAAGGUGCAAUUGCAUCACUACCAGAUGGACCUGCGUUGUAUUAGCUAGUUGGUGAGGUAACGGCUCACCAAGGCGACGAUACAUAGCCGACCUGAGAGGGUGAUCGGCCACACUGGGACUGAGACACGGCCCAGACUCCUACGGGAGGCAGCAGUAGGGAAACUUCGGCAAUGGACGGAAGUCUGACCGAGCAACGCCGCGGGAGUGAAGAAGGUUUUCGGAUCGUAAAGCUCGGUUGUAAGAGAAGAACGAGUGUGAGAGUGGAAAGUUCACACUGUGACGGUAUCUUACCAGAAAGGGACGGCUAACUACGUG